UGCCAGACUCCUACGGGAGGCAGCAGUGGGGAAUAUUGCACAAUGGGGGAAACCCUGAUGCAGCGACGCCGCGUGAGUGAAGAAGUAAUUCGUUAUGUAAAGCUCUAUCAGCAGGGAAGAAAAUGACGGUACCUGAGUAAGAAGCCCCGGCUAACUACGUGCCAGCAGCCGCGGUAAUACGUAGGGGGCAAGCGUUAUCCGGAUUUACUGGGUGUAAAGGGAGCGUAGACGGCGGCGCAAGUCUGAAGUGAAAGCCCGUGGCUCAACCGCGGAACCGCUUUGGAAACUGCGAGGCUGGAGUGCUGGAGAGGUAAGCGGAAUUCCUGGUGUAGCGGUGAAAUGCGUAGAUAUCAGGAGGAACACCGGUGGCGAAGGCGGCUUACUGGACAGUGACUGACGUUGAGGCUCGAAAGCGUGGGGAGCGAACAGGAUUAGAUACCCCAGUAGUG
rnacentral:rRNA from 1 species